CCUACGGGAGGCAGCAGUGGGGAAUAUUGGACAAUGGGCGCAAGCCUGAUCCAGCCAUGCCGCGUGAGUGAUGAAGGCCCUAGGGUUGUAAAGCUCUUUUGUGCGGGAAGAUAAUGACGGUACCGCAAGAAUAAGCCCCGGCUAACUUCGUGCCAGCAGCCGCGGUAAUACGAAGGGGGCUAGCGUUGCUCGGAAUCACUGGGCGUAAAGGGUGCGUAGGCGGGUCUUUAAGUCAGGGGUGAAAUCCUGGAGCUCAACUCCAGAACUGCCUUUGAUACUGAAGAUCUUGAGUUCGGGAGAGGUGAGUGGAACUGCGAGUGUAGAGGUGAAAUUCGUAGAUAUUCGCAAGAACACCAGUGGCGAAGGCGGCUCACUGGCCCGAUACUGACGCUGAGGCACGAAAGCGUGGGGAGCAAACAGGAUUAGAUACCCUUGUAGUC
rnacentral:rRNA from 1 species